UGAUGGUGAUGAAUAUUUCCAUUUCAUUCGCGGUUUCCACCAGAGAAGCUCUUGUUUCGAAGAUGGGUCAUUGUCCUUCCUUGGAUGUCUGAAUCA
rnacentral:snoRNA from 1 species